GUUUUGCGAUGAAUUAAGAGAGAAAACUUUCCAUCUUCCGAAGCCCAAUCGGUAUGAUGCUUCUUCUGAAACUAUGAAAGAA
rnacentral:sRNA from 1 species